GCACUCGUAGCUCAGUUGGUAGAGCAACUGACUCUUAAUCAGUGGGUCCAAGGUUCGAAUCCUUGCGAGUGCACCA
rnacentral:tRNA from 3 species